ACGGACAACGAUUAAUAGGGAAUCGGGUGCAAAUCCCGGACAGUCCCGCUGCUGUGAAGCUCAGUUCAAUGUCUUAUAAAUGAACUAAUUUGACGCCACUGAUGUUCUAUUGGGAAGGCUAAUAAGACAAGAGUCAGUCAGAAGACCUGCCACUUCACGU
rnacentral:ncRNA from 1 species